GACGAACGCUGGCGGCGUGCCUAAUACAUGCAAGUCGAACGCUGAAGGAGGAGCUUUCUUCUCUGGAUGAGUGGCGAACGGGUGAGUAACGCGUAGGUAACCUGCCUGUUAGCUGGGGAUAACUAUUGGAAACGAUGGCUAAUACCGCAUAAUAGUAGAUGUUGCAUGACAUUUGCUGAAAAGUUGCAAUUGCAUCACUACCAGAUGGACCUGCGUUGUAUUAGCUAGUGGGUGGGGUAACGGCUCACCAAGGCGACGAGACAUAGCCGACCUGAGAGGGGGAUCGGCCAGACUGGGAGUGAGACACGGCCCAGACUCCUACGGGUGGCAGCAGUAGGGAAUCUUCGGCAAUGGACGGAAGUCUGACCGAGCAACGCCGAGGGCGUGAAGAAGGUUGUCGGAUCGUAAAGCUCUGUUGUAAGAGAAGAACGAGUGUGAGAGUGGAAAGUUCACACUGUGACGGUAUCUUACAAGAAAGGGACGGCUAACUACGUG
rnacentral:rRNA from 1 species